rnacentral:rRNA from 1 species
AUGUAGGACGGUUCCAACCCCACCUCAGAGAUGAGGAAAUCAGACCUGCGCUGCAUCUGACCACCUGAAAGUCUUCUUCAAGUAGGCCACUUUGGCGGCGAUCUUCUCCUGACCGAUGAAUCCGACAGCAUCCAACGCGUGCCUGAACAUCCCCGAGCCACGAGGCACGCCAAGGCCUUCGGCGCAUGCCACCAUCGCCCCGACGCGCUCUGGCUUGCUGCUCAGGACUCCGCGCUUAGUGAGGGACAGCUUGGUGAUAUCGCAGUCGUCUAG